rnacentral:rRNA from 1 species
AUGGACGCAGGCCGGGCCAGCGGCGUCGGCCCCGCCCGGAGGCCACGACCCGCCGCCGCGGCGUCGGAUCCCCGGCGCGCGGCUGCGGCGCGGGAGGCCAUGUUGCGCAUGGAGGAGGUCAUGAUGGCCCACGCGGGCGCGGCGGGCGAGUUCAGCAUGAUCAUCGAAGCUCCGCUCCCCAACCUCCAGCGCUACCGCCGCAACGCGACGCCUCCUGCGGCCCCGUCGUCUGACUCUCCCUCGCGGAGGCGCGGCGGACCUCAUGACCCCGGCGCGAGGGACGACGUCCCCACGCGAUUGCGGCGCGAGGGAAGCGUGACCGAGGACGUCGGCAACGCUCGGGGGGUACGCGGCGGGGAGGACAUGGGCUACGCGGACGACGCGCGCUCGCGUCGCGGCACCGGGGACGCUCGAGGGGCGCGACCUGCAAGCACUCGCGGCCGGGAGGAAGAGUCGGAGGCGCCGGUGCGGAUGAGAGACCCGCGGAGGGAGAGCGGCCGUCUCAGCGCGCCUCCUGGGAGGGUCGUCGAGGCGCAGCCAGACGUCGCGUCGGCCGUGGAGGAGGAGACACCACUGCAGCAGCUGUCACGCGGAGCGCGGAGUUCGAGCGCGGAUAGGCGCGUGGAAGCGGCACCGGAGGCGGAGGCGAUGGCCGCGAGACCAUCAAGCCGAGGAUCGAGGCGGGAGGGCAGUCGGGAUGCCGUGGUGAAUCCUAUUGUUACUGAGCCGGCGGUGGAGGCGUUGGCUGCCAGACCACCAAGCCGACGAUCGAGGCGGGAUGGCAGCGGGGACGACGCUGUGAAUCCUAUUGUUGCUGAGCCGGCCGUGGAGGUGUUGGCUGUCAGACCACCGAGCCGGCGAUCGAGGCGGGAGGGCAGUGGGGAGGCCGUUGUGAAUGCUAUUGUUGCCGAGCCCGAGCUGGAGGCCGAUGUGGAGAGUGUCGGGUGGGGUAGCAGCCGAGGGAGUGAGGAUGGAGGCGAGGAGCCGGUGGCGUUGCCAAAGCCGCUGGAGUCAAUACUCACCGGAGGCCGUAGCAGGAGCAACUCACCGGCCAUAAGUCGGAACGGUGUGGACUCUGGUGUAGCAAAUCGCGCACAAUCAACAGGAAGGUCAAGUUUUGUACCACCUGUUGGGGCUAAUGUGAGGCCUCUACAAGCUGUGGAGGUGCCCAAUGGGACACCUAGAGAAAGAAGGACAAUCUAUCCAGAUCCUACUUUCGCGCAGUCCGGUCGAUCAAGAGAUUCACAUGACAGUUCAACACUAACAGAAGAGGUUGAGAUGCUCAAAGAUGAGAAUGUGAAUCUUUUGGAAAAGCUUGGACUAGCAGAAGAGAAAUUUAGACAAUCUGAAGCUCGGACAAGGGAGCUUGAGAAACAGGUUGCUAAUCUUGGUGAUGGAUUAUCUAUGGAAGUUAAACUUAUGAAAAGGAGGGAGGAGAUGCUAGUGAGGAAGGAGCAAGAAAUAAGGAAAGCGCUUAUAUCCAAAAAUGAUAAAAGCGAGGAAAUCACCACUCUUCAACAACAGCUCCAGUCUGCAAGUGAAAAGGCUGCAGUUGCUGAGCGGAAACUCAAUGAGGCUGAAUCUGAAACAAAAGCCUUACGCACAAUGACACAGAGGAUGAUCUUAAGCAAAGAAGAAAUGGAAGAAGUUGUUAUGAAGAGAUGUUGGCUUGCCCGUUACUGGGGCUUGGCUGUCCAAUAUGGCAUCUAUCCAGACAUCUCUAUGUCAAAAUAUGAAUACUGGUCUUCGUUUGCUCCUCUUCCCCUCGAGUAUGUGACAUCAGCUGGACUGAGAGCUAAGGAUGGAGGUAGUAAUGAUUUGGAAGAAACAGACAUGCUUGUUCAUGAUUUGACUGUCACAGCAGGAGAAGGCAACAUAGAAACAAUGCUUGCUGUUGAUAAGGGACUUAAAGAACUUGCCUUCUUAAAGGUUGAGGAUGCUGUUCUUAUUGCUCUUGCCCAACAUCAUCGUCCAAAUGUUGCAGAGCUAUCAGAUCCAGAUAUUAAAUCAUCCGGUGAUGAAAAAUUCACUGAGGCAUUUGACCUAAGCAAGGAGGAAGAGGAAGACGUGUUGUUCAAGCAGGCUUGGCUCAUGUAUUUCUGGAGAAGGGCUAAAACCCAUAAUGUGGAAGAGGAUAUCGCAGAGGAGCGACUGCAGAUGUGGGUUGAUCGACAUGGGCAGCAACCAACUUCACAUGAUGCUGUAGAUGUUGAGCAAGGGAUACAUGAAUUGAGGAAGCUGGGAAUCGAACAACUGCUGUGGGAAUUCUCCCGCCAGGAGGUGAAUGUUGCCGAAGGUGAAUUGUCCGAUCCUGAAGAUGAUCUGACCUAG